rnacentral:rRNA from 1 species
UACGUAGGUGGCAAGCGUUGUCCGGAUUUACUGGGCGUAAAGAGCGCGCAGGCGGUCGUUCAAGUCGCGUGUGAAAGCCCCCGGCUCAACUGGGGAGGGUCACGCGAUACUGAUCGACUCGAAGGCAGGAGAGGGUAGUGGAAUUCCCGGUGUAGUGGUGAAAUGCGUAGAUAUCGGGAGGAACACCAGUGGCGAAGGCGGCUCACUGGACUGGUACUGACGCUGAGGCGCGAAAGCGUGGGGAGCAAACAGG